CAGGAAUUAGUUUAUAGAAAAUAUUUCAUUUACAUUGAAUUGAAUUAGGUUGCGAUAUUUAAUUUCUGA
rnacentral:tRNA from 1 species